rnacentral:lncRNA from 1 species
UUAAAAAGAAGCGGGUCAAAUGCUUUUUUGAUUAAAAAGAUACGGGUCGAAUGCUUUUUCGAUUAAAAAGGUACAGGCAGAAUGCUUUCGAUUAAAAGAUACGGGUCGAAUGCUUUUUCACUUAAAAAACAAACGGGUUGAAUGCUUUUUCACUUAACUUAGUACAUGCUCUUUAUGGUCUAAUCUUUUUAAGUAAACAAUACAAGUUAAAGCGAUGAACAUUCACGUAAACAAUACAUUAACAUCUCACUUAAAAAGAAGCGGGUCAAAUGUUGUCACUUAAAAAGAAGCGGGUCAAAUGCUUUUUUGAUUAAAAAGAUCCG